GCGAGAGUGGCGGAACUGGUAGACGCACUGGCCUUAGGAGCCAGCGGUUAUGCCGUAGGGGUUCGACUCCCCUCUCUCGCACCA
rnacentral:tRNA from 1 species